rnacentral:rRNA from 1 species
AUUGAACGCUGGCGGCAUGCCUUACACAUGCAAGUCGAACGGCAGCACGGGUGCUUGCACCUGGUGGCGAGUGGCGAACGGGUGAGUAAUACAUCGGAACGUACCUUAUCGUGGGGGAUAACGCAGCGAACGCUGUGCUAAUACCGCAGACGACCUGAGGGGGAAAGCGGGGGAUCGAAAGACCUCGCGCGAUUAGGGCGGCAGAUGCCUGGUUAGCUUGUUGGUGGGGUAAAAGCCCACCAAGGCGACGAUCAGUAGCUGGUCUGAGAGGACGAUCAGCCACACUGGGACUGAGACACGGCCCAGACUCCUACGGGAGGUAGCAGUGGGGAAUUUUGGACAAUGGGGGCAACCCUGAUCCAGCAAUGCCGCGUGAGUGAAGAAGGCCUUCGGGUUGUAAAGCUCUUUUGUCAGGGAAGAAACACCGGCUCUAACACAGUCCGGGAAUGACGGUACCUGAAGAAUAAGCACCGGCUAACUACGUGCCAGCAGCCGCAGUAA